rnacentral:rRNA from 1 species
UACGUAGGGUGCGAGCGUUAAUCGGAAUUACUGGGCGUAAAGCGUGCGCAGGCGGUUUUGUAAGACAGGCGUGAACUCCCGGGCUCAACUUGGGACUGCAUCUGAGACUGGAAGGCUAGAGUACUGGAGAGGGUGGUGGAAUUCCUCGUGUAGCGGUGAAAUGCGUAGAGAUGAGGAGGAACACCAGUGGCGAAGGCGGCC